ensembl:lncRNA
GCUGUGUUUAUCAUAUAAAGUCUCCUUCCAUUUAAAACCCUCAACACGCACCCCACUGAAGAGACAAAUUUGACAAAUGAACAAAGAACAAAAUAUUGCAUGUUAACAUCAAACGGAGACUGACAUUUCCUUCUUUGUGAAGCAGAAAAGAAACACACAAACCACAGGUCUGAAGACUCCCUGCAGUGAAACAGCACCCUAACCUGGAGAUUCAUCUCCCUGAGUUUUUCCAAGAUUUACACUUAUUAAUUUUUAAUGACCUAAACAUUACCCUUUACAGUGGUCUGGACUUUGUAAGAUAAAAAAAUGUGCAAAUGUGUUCUUGAAUAUGAUUGCAUUUGUGUAUAUGUUGAUGUUUUAAUCCAUAGUUACAGUCAUUGUCAUUGUUCUUUUAAAGUGAGCCAACUAUUUUUCUCCUCUUGGUGUCAGUGGGAUGA